AUUGAACGCUGGCGGCAGGCCUAACACAUGCAAGUCGAACGAGUGGCGGACGGGUGAGUAAUGUCUGGGAAACUGCCUGAUGGAGGGGGAUACCUACUGGAAACGGUAGCUAAUACCGCAUACCAUCGGAUGUGCCCAGAUGGGAUUAGCUAGUAGGUGGGGUAAAGGCUCACCUAGGCGACGAUCCCUAGCUGGUCUGAGAGGAUGACCAGCCACAAUGGAACUGAGAAACGGGCCAGACGCCUACGGGAGGCAGCAGUGGGGAAUAUUGCACGAUGGGGGCAAGCCUGAUGCAGCCAUGCCGCGGGUAUGAAGAAGGCCUUCGGGUUGGAAAGUACUUUCAGCGGGGAGGCGUUACCAGCAGAAGAAGCACCGGCUAACUUCGUGCCAGCCGCCGCGGUAAUUC
rnacentral:rRNA from 1 species